UGAUCCUGGCUCAGGAUGAACGCUGGCGGUAUGCUUAACACAUGCAAGUCGAACGGUGUCUUCGGACACAGUGGCGGACGGGUGAGUAACGCGUGAGAAUCUGGCUUCAGGUCUGGGACAACCACUGGAAACGGUGGCUAAUACCGGAUGUGCCCUUCGGGGUGAAAGGUUAACUGCCUGAAGAUGAGCUCGCGUCUGAUUAGCUAGUUGGAAGUGUAAUGGACUCCCAAGGCGACGAUCCAGUAGCUGGUCUGAGAGGACGAUCAGCCACACUGGGACUGAGACACGGCCCAGACUCCUACGGGAGGCAGCAGUGGGGAAUUUUCCGCAAUGGGCGAAAGCCUGACGGAGCAAUACCGCGUGAGGGAGGAAGGCUCUUGGGUCGUAAACCUCUUUUCUCAGGGAAGAACACAAUGACGGUACCUGAGGAAUAAGCAUCGGCUAACUCCGUGCCAGCAGCCGCGGUAAUACGGAGGAUGCAAGCGUUAUCCGGAAUGAUUGGGCGUAAAGCGUCCGCAGGUGGCAAUGUAAGUCUGCUGUUAAAGAGUCUAGCUCAACUAGAUACAAGCAGUGGAAACUACAUAGCUAGAGUACGUUCGGGGCAGAGGGAAUUCCUGGUGUAGCGGUGAAAUGCGUAGAGAUCAGGAAGAACACCAGUGGCGAAGGCGCUCUGCUAGGCCGUAACUGACACUGAGGGACGAAAGCUAGGGGAGCGAAUGGGAUUAGAUACCCCAGUAGUCCUAGCCGUAAACGAUGGAUACUAGGCGUGGCUUGUAUCGACCCGAGCCGUGCCGUAGCUAACGCGUUAAGUAUCCCGCCUGGGGAGUACGCCGGCAACGGUGAAACUCAAAGGAAUUGACGGGGGCCCGCACAAGCGGUGGAGUAUGUGGUUUAAUUCGAUGCAACGCGAAGAACCUUACCAAGGCUUGACAUGUCGCGAAUCCUGGUGAAAGCUGGGAGUGCCUUCGGGAGCGCGAACACAGGUGGUGCAUGGCUGUCGUCAGCUCGUGUCGUGAGAUGUUGGGUUAAGUCCCGCAACGAGCGCAACCCUCGUUUUUAGUUGCCAGCAUUAAGUUGGGCACUCUAGAGAGACUGCCGGUGACAAACCGGAGGAAGGUGGGGAUGACGUCAAGUCAGCAUGCCCCUUACGCCUUGGGCUACACACGUACUACAAUGCUCCGGACAGAGGGCAGCAAGCGGGCGACCGCAAGCAAAUCCCGUAAACCGGAGCUCAGUUCAGAUCGCAGGCUGCAACUCGCCUGCGUGAAGGAGGAAUCGCUAGUAAUUGCAGGUCAGCAUACUGCAGUGAAUUCGUUCCCGGGCCUUGUACACACCGCCCGUCACACCAUGGAAGCUGGUAGUGCCCGAAGUCAUUACUCCAACCAUUCGUGGAGGAGGAUGCCUAAGGCAGGACUGGUGACUGGGGUGAAGUCGUAACAAGGUAGCCGUACCGGAAGGUGUGGCUGGAUCACCUCCUUUUUAGGGAGACCUACACCCCUUACAUAUCGAAAAACAAACAGUUAAAUAGAUAGUAAGUUGGUCAUUCCUUAGGUCGG
rnacentral:rRNA from 1 species